GGAUAACAUACCGAAAGGUAUGCUAAUACGGGAUAAUAUAUUUGAGAGGCAUCUCUUAAAUAUCAAAGGUGAGCCAGUACAGGAUGGACCCGCGUCUGAUUAGCUAGUUGGUAAGGUAACGGCUUACCAAGGCGACGAUCAGUAGCCGACCUGAGAGGGUGAUCGGCCACAUUGGAACUGAGACACGGUCCAAACUCCCACGGGAGGCAGCAGUGGGGAAUAUUGCACAAUGGGCGAAAGCCUGAUGCAGCAACGCCGCGUGAGUGAUGAAGGCCUUCGGGUCGUAAAACUCUGUCCUCAAGGAAGAUAAUGACGGUACUUGAGGAGGAAGCCCCGGCUAACUACGUGCCAGCAGCCGCGGUAAUACGUAGGGGGCUAGCGUUAUCCGGAUUUACUGGGCGUAAAGGGUGCGUAGGCGGUCUUUCAAGUCAGGAGUGAAAGGCUACGGCUCAACCGUAGUAAGCUCUUGAAACUGGGAGACUUGAGUGCAGGAGAGGAGAGUGGAAUUCCUAGUGUAGCGGUGAAAUGCGUAGAUAUUAGGAGGAACACCAGUUGCGAAGGCGGCUCUCUGGACUGUAACUGACGCUGAGGCACGAAAGCGUGGGGAGCAAACAGGAUUAGAUACCCUGGUAGUCCACGCUGUAAACGAUGAGUACUAGGUGUCGGGGGUUACCCCCUUCGGUGCCGCA
rnacentral:rRNA from 1 species